GUUGGCAGCCAACUGUUUGCUCGCUUUCUCUCCGUUUCCAUAAAUAAAAAAAUAGGAAUAUUCCAGAAGCCUCCGCGAUGAGGAGACUCUAACAGGAGGAGCAGUGAUAAAGAGGUCAGGCGGCGAGUAGACCAGAGGGGAAGUAAGGAGACAAGGAAUAAGUCAGGACCAACCGGCAAGGGGGGAAGAGAGGGAGGAAAACACUCACUUUUUCCAACCAACAACUCUUACGAAAUUAAGCUGGAAAUGUUGAGAGCUACUAAAUUCUUCUCAGUUUAAACACUGGCCCACUGAGAGGGAGAACUACUCAAGAUCUCCACUGGAGUAAAGAGGAGCAGCAGGAGGAGGGUGAAGGGGGGAAUCACUUAUUGAGACUGGACUACUUAGACUCUCGAUGCUUUCAGAUGAACCGCUGAAGACUGUUGGAAUGUAGCUGAGGGAGCUGACGAAUGGAAGACGGUUUGGCGAGGAGUCAGCGAUGACAUCAUCGCCUCAGGAGGUAACCUCACCUUCUCCUGCCGGCACUCCUCCAGGGUGGCGUUGGUGGCGUCGAGGCGUCCCACCAGCCGCAGGAUCUCCGCACUCUGGUGGAGCUGCUCCUCCCUGGCCACCUCCAGCUUCUCCUCCAGAGCCACCUUGUUCUUGCUCCACACCACCUUGGGAAAGGAUGGAGACGACGGUGGAGGUCGACGAAGACGAGCGGUG
ensembl:lncRNA